rnacentral:rRNA from 1 species
UACGUAGGGUGCAAGCGUUGUCCGGAAUUAUUGGGCGUAAAGAGCUCGUAGGCGGUCUGUCGCGUCUGCUGUGAAAACCUAGGGCUUAACUCUGGGCGUGCAGUGGGUACGGGCAGGCUAGAGUGCGGUAGGGGAGACUGGAAUUCCUGGUGUAGCGGUGAAAUGCGCAGAUAUCAGGAGGAACACCGAUGGCGAAGGCAGAUCUCUGGGCCGUAACUGACGCUGAGGAGCGAAAGCAUGGGGAGCGAACAGG